rfam:Ictidomys tridecemlineatus contig088425, whole genome shotgun sequence.
AUCUUUUUUAUGGUUUACAAGCACAGGCUUGGGUUUCCACACAGAUGUGUUGAGAAGUGCCUCCCUCCAACCUUGUGACAACAUCAGCAUGUUACCCAUCUGACA